rnacentral:piRNA from 1 species
GAGAUACAUGUCACUGUUGGAGC